rnacentral:rRNA from 1 species
AAUGAACCUACGAGUUACCUUCCCCGGCAAGGUUAAGUACCUAAGGUACGGAGCCGAAGCGAAAGCGAGUCUGAAGAGGGCGGCCAGUCGGGGGGGGUAGACGCGAAACCGAGUGAUCUACCCUUGGCCAGGUUGAAGGUUGGGUAACACCAACUGGAGGACCGGAUGGGUAAGCGUUGAAAAGCUUUCCAAUGAGCUGAGGGUAGGGGUGAAAGGCUAAUCAAACUCGGAGAUAGCUCGUACUCCCCGAAAUGCAUUUAGGUGCAGCCUCUUUAUAGUAUAUCGUGAGGUAGAGCGACUGAUUGGAUGCGAGGGCUUCACCGCCUAUCAAGUCCAGAUAAACUCCGAAUGCGCGAUAUAUAUUUAAAGGGAGUGAGGGCGCGGGUGCUAAGGUCCGUGUCCGAGAGGAGAAGAAUCCAGACCACCGGCUAAGGCCCCCAAAUGAUCGUUGAGUUGAACUAACGAGGUCGGAUCGCAGAGACAGCUAGGAUGUUGGCUUGGAAGCAGCCAUUCAUUUAAAGAGUGCGUAACAGCUCACUAGUCGAGCGAUCUGGCGUGGAUAAUAAUCGGGCAUAAACGAUCUGCCGAAGCCGUGGAUGUCGUAAGACAUGGUAGGGGAGCAUUCCAUGCGGCGUCGAAGAUGAGGGAUGACCCUUGUUGGAGCGCAUGGAAAAGCAAAUGUAGGUAUGAGUAACGAUAAGGGGGGCGAGAAACCCCCCCGCCGAAAGACCAAGGUUUCCUGAUCAACGCUAAUCGGAUCAGGGUGAGUCGGGACCUAAGGCAAAGCCGAACGGCGCCGCCGAUGGAAGAAUGGGUUAAUAUUCCCAUACUGCCUCAUGGAGUGACGUGGAGACGGAGAAGUGACAGUCCUGCCGGCUGACGGAAUAGCCGGUUGAAGGGUGUAGAUAUUGAUUCCCGUAGGCAAAUCCGCGGGGAGAGUCGAACCUGACAGUAUACCGAGUACUUGUACGAGGUAAUAUGGACGUAACCAUGCUCCCAAGAAAAUCCGCUAAACUUAUCCAUGCGGCACCCGUACCGUAAACGGACACACGUGGUCGGGUUGAGAAUACUGAGGCGCUCGAGUGACUCACGGUUAAGGAACUAGGCAAAUUGACCCUGUAACUUCGGGAUAAAGGGUCCUCGUCGUAAGGCGAGGCGCAGAGAAUAGGUCCAGGCAACUGUUUAACAAAAACACAUGGCUAUGCUAAAUGGAAACAUGACGUAUAUAGCCUGACACCUGCCCGGUGCUGGAAGGUUAAGAGGAGAUGUCAUCGCAAGAGAAGCGUUGAAUUGAAGCCCCAGUAAACGGCGGCC